UACCAGCUCUCCGAGUAGUGUGGAUGUUUAUUGGGCCUAAAGCAUCAGUAGCUUGCUAAGCAAGUCCCCUGUUAAAUCCACCGAUUCAAUCGGUGGAUUGCGGGGGAUACUGUUUGGCUAGGGGACGGGAGAGGCCGACGGUAUUUCCGGGGUAGGGGUGAAAUCCUAUAAUCCCGGGAAGACCACCAGUGGCGAAGGCUGUCGGCUAGAACGCGCCCGACGGUGAGGGAUGAAAGCUGGGGGAGCGAACCGGAUUAGAUACCCGGGUAGUCCCAGCUGUAAACGAUGCAGGCUAGGUGUUUGGGCGGCCGCGAGCCGCUCUAGUGCCGCAGGGAAGCUGUUAAGCCUGCCGCCUGGGGAGUACGGCCGCAAGGCUGAAACUUAAGGAAUUGGCGGGGGAGCACCACAAGGGGUGAAGCUUGCGGUUU
rnacentral:rRNA from 1 species